rnacentral:rRNA from 1 species
UACGGAGGGUGCAAGCGUUAAUCGGAAUUACUGGGCGUAAAGCGUGCGUAGGCGGCGCAUUAAGUCUGAUGUGAAAUCCCCGGGCUUAACCUGGGAAUUGCAUUGGAUACUGGUGUGCUCGAAUGUGGUAGAGGGUGGCGGAAUUUCUGGUGUAGCGGUGAAAUGCGUAGAUAUCAGAAAGAACACCAAUGGCGAAGGCAGCCACCUGGGCCAACAUUGACGCUGAGGUACGAAAGCGUGGGGAGCAAACAGGAUUAGAUACCCUGGUAGUCCACGCCCUAAACGAUGUCUACUUGUCGUCGGGAGGGUUCAACCUUUCGGUGACGGAGCUAACGCGUUAAGUAGACCGCCUGGGGAGUACGGCCGCAAGGUUGAA